rnacentral:rRNA from 1 species
UACGGAGGGAGCUAGCGUUGUUCAGAAUUACUGGGCGUAAAGCGCGCGUAGGCGGCUUUGUAAGUUAGAGGUGAAAGCCCGGGGCUCAACCCCGGAAUUGCCUUUAAGACUGCAUCGCUUGAAUCCGGGAGAGGUGAGUGGAAUUCCGAGUGUAGAGGUGAAAUUCGUAGAUAUUCGGAAGAACACCAGUGGCGAAGGCGCUCACUGGACUGGUAUUGACGCUGAGGUGCGAAAGCGUGGGGAGCAAACAGG